GCUGUUCUCAUCCUCCUCCUGUUUUCUCAUCCUCCUCCUCGUCUCAGUCGCUCACCCCAUAUCUUCCUAUCUUUUUCUCCCCCAUCUCUCUGUCAAGCAGAGAACUACUCCCACGCAGCACACUCCCUCAACAUCUGCCGCUGUUUCUAAGGCCCCCCGCAGCUCGAUCCAGAUCGGGAUCGAGGCCACCACCGAGCCGCCUCCCCUCCUCCGUCCUCCACGCGCGCUCUCAGCGCCCGAUCCACCCCUUCCUCGUCCUCGCGCACGUUGCCCUGCUCUCUCCUUCUUCCUCUCAGUUCUUUCUUUUCCUUGGCAGGGAGCACGCAGGGAGCCUGGCGGCCGCUACCACAGCCGGGCGUCCUCGCGUCACCGCCGCCUCCGAGUUCGUCGGCCGCUGGCGCCCGUCCUCCCCUUUAUUUUGUAUUCGCAAGUUUUGCCACCUGACUCAAUUGUAAAUUGGGAUUUUUCAUGCAAGCAUCUGAUGAUUCGGAUUGUAAUCUCCUAUUAUUGGAUUUAUUUGUUCCUUGAAUCCCUCUUUUCACUU
rnacentral:rRNA from 1 species